AUACUUAUCUGGCAGAGGAGAUACCAUGAUCAUGAAGGUAGUUUUUCCAGGGUUUGGUUUAUCCAUUGCCCUCCAGAUAUGCUGACUCCUGUGAUUUCUCCAAAUGCAGGACAUGACUGCAUGAUUUGAGGUAGUGGGGGACUGU
rnacentral:snRNA from 1 species